ACUGAAUGUGGAAGCCUGGCUCUUUCCUUCAUCAAGAAGACAAGAGUACUGAUGCGCUUGACACGAGGUUGCGACUUGUAAUUCCCCACCUCCAAGCGGGAAAACGCAAAGCAAACGCACCCUCAACUUGAAAUCGCCAUUCGUCAACAGUGGGAAGUCUUCUCAUCUACCAGUUCCUUCCCUGUUCAUCGAGUGACGUCGAGUCGGCAUGACGGAUUCAGAACUCACAAAGUGGCACUUACCUCGGUGGUUAUUUGCUUUAGAUCAGGGUUGUCCAGUCUUCUCCAGAAUGGGCCAGUGUGGUUGCAGGUUGUCAUUCUAACCAAGCAGAAGCCACACUUUAGUCUAUUGAAAGCCAAGAUCAGCGGAUCCAACAAUUGGAAUCAGGUGUGGCUCCUGCUAGAUUGGAACGAAAAGCUGAAGAUUGGACAACGCUGCUUGAGACCAAUCAGCAUAUAGACAUAUUUGCUUAUUAAAUAUUAAACAUUGACUAUAUAGAUGGCUGAUUGCGGAAAAUGUACACCUCUCAUCACAGUUUGCAUGCUAGCUUGUCGCUAACAAAAGACAGACACGGAGAGACCGCAUGUUCUAACAUUUUCGCCCCUGUUCACGGGUCAAACGUGCCCUGUUGGAUAAUGCUGUGUUUACAAACAGCAAAGAAGCACUAAGAAUUCAAGUGGGAAGCAGAAAGAGUUGUGGGAGGCCUGCAGAGAAGCCAAUGGCACAUUCUGUUGACCCAUUUACUUUCAGGUAGGUGAUUCCUUCCUUUUGUGCCAACUACCAUAAAGCAGCUCCAGAGGCUCCGAGUGAGAAUCCGUGCAUUGGCCGGGAAUCGAACCCGGGUCAACUACUUGGAAGGCAGCUAUGCUCACCUCUAUACCACCAAUGCCAUGCUAGGCAAUUCAACUCUGCUGAACAAAAGUUUAAGUAUGUGCUCUUCUCAUCAGCAGACCAUAGGCAAGAGCCGAAGCGCAGCUCUGUCAUGGUUUCUGUAGUGUGGUGGUUAUCACGUUUGUCUAACACUCAUCACCGUAAGAUCAG
ensembl:lncRNA